rnacentral:rRNA from 1 species
ACGUGAUCUGAGUUCAGACCGGAGUAAUCCAGGUCAGUUUCUAUCUAUAAAGCGCUUUUUCUAGUACGAAAGGACCGAAAAAGCAUGGUCAAUGUUUCAUGCAAACCAUACCUGAUUAUUUAUGAUUUUAUCUCAAUAAGCAUUCAACCUUCUAUCUUCACUCAAGACAAGAGU